rnacentral:rRNA from 1 species
UACGGAGGGUGCUAGCGUUGUUCGGAACUACUGGGCGUAAAGCGCACGUAGGCGGCGCAGCAAGUCAGGGGUGAAAUCCCGGGGCUCAACCCCGGAACUGCCCUUGAAACUGCAGUGCUAGAAUUCUGGAGAGGCGAGUGGAAUUCCGAGUGUAGAGGUGAAAUUCGUAGAUAUUCGGAAGAACACCAGUGGCGAAGGCGACUCGCUGGACAGACAUUGACGCUGAGGUGCGAAAGCGUGGGGAGCAAACAGG